AAAAAAAAAAAAAAAAAAAAAAGCAGCUCUUUGCUAAUUCACAAAAACUUGGAGGGGGGUGAGGGGAAUGUGGGGUGUGGAGAAACUAGGGAGAAUAAUUGGGCAAUUCCCGACAUCCUCGAUGGCAGCUCUUAAGCAAUUACGGGGACUCAGCAACACCCUUAUCACAGCACGUUCUGGGAGAUUAACCGGCUGCUCAGCUGGCAAUUAGAGCCGGUGCCUCCCUGCUUUUUCUGUCAACCUGGAAAGCAAGGUCUGCUCCUGGUCCCGUGUUUCGUUCUGCUCUAACUUUCCCUCCGUCUUUGGAAAACUUUGCUUGCUGAUGGCAUCUGUGAAAGCCCCAGUGCUGUGUGUUUGCGUGCCGGCUUCAUUUGCACAGAAAAAACGCUCAGCUGAGACACAGGUUUGACUUUCUGUCUGGGCCACGGACCUCCUGUGAGAUUCUGCUCAGGUCCCAGUGACAUCUACAAGGCAAGCUGUGAUCUCCUUGGCCUGUGAAUCAUCGCUGAUAAUGGAGAUCCUGCAGGCUGACCCCUGCUUUUGUCAGCUGUACAGCACCAGAGUUUGUGGAUGCACCCAGAGAGAGCUCACUGGCACUGUGGCAAGAGAAAUGAUCUCUUCCUUCUGCAGCACAGCCCGGGUGGAAUCACCUGGCAGGGAUGCUCUUAUGGACAGAACAAGGCGGUACAGUUCACCUUUGCUGUCCCUGAAAGGUACUCCUACCUUUUCCAGCCUUUUCCUUCCUCUUCCUUCAGGUUCAUGCCUUCUCCUAGCACAACAGCCAGGCGAAGUCUGAGCUUCCUCCCUCGGAACUGGUCACUGUCUGACCCCUGUGUGAUGGUCUUGACCAAUAAGGGGAAAAUUUUGGUUGAUUUUUUGAUCUCAACAUCUACUUCUGCUUCUCCCUCUGGAGUAUCAGCAUUGUGACCUCCAUCUCCUGCUCGAUUCAGAACCCAGGUGAGCCUUGGCUUAAUCUGAGCAUCAGUGUCCUCUCUACUGUGGUAAUAAGAGCAUCGCCCUUUAUCAAAGAGAAGAUGGUAUCAAAAACUGUGGGGUUUAGUAGUGGACAUGGGUAAUGAACAUUGGAGGGUGAGAGCAUUUGUUGGGAAGAGCACUCAGGUGAUCCUGGAGCCGGUGAGGUGUCUUGGGUCCUCUGCCUGCCUCAGUUACAUCCGUCUGGAGCAGCUGAGGGUGUGUUAUUUCCUCGCUCUGCAUCUCCCUUCCAGCCAGGAUAACAACACCUUGUGGGGGUGAGAGUGGAUGUUCAUUGGCAUUUGUCAUCGACUCGACUGCAAGCACCCUGGGGAGCCCUAUAAAUAAGUGAGGGGAUGUGAUUCAGCAGCCAUUGGAGGAGAAGCAGCUGCCACUAUGUCCAUUUCAUGAUCACUUCAAAAGCCUGAACUCUUUACUUGGUUUGUGUUCCUGCAUUAAAUUUGCAAGAGGCCCCUCCACAAGUGGAGCAGGGGAAGGCAGCCUGCUGUGCCUCUGGGAAGGAUGGUGUGGAAGGAACCACUUUGGAAACGAUGCAGCCCCUGAGACUGAUUGCAGGAUCCACCACUGCACCCUCGUUCCUUAUUGAUGUGCACCUGCAACACCUUGUGUUUCUUCUGUUUGCUGUGGUGGGUUUUCCUGAUGUCUGUUAUUGCUGGGCAGAGAGAGGCAGUAAAAGAAAAUGUUUAGGUCAGGCUUGUGGAGAAGCAGCCAGGUGUCUGGAUGUGUUAUCAAGGUAGCAGAUGCUUUUGCAUCCACAAACUUGGUGAUGAGACUAAUGUGAGACUGAGAGAUCUGAGCAAAAAGCACAACUGUGUACACCUCGAGGCUCUGAGCAGCAAAACUGCAGCUUGGAUUUAGGUUUAGAUUGCCAAGUUCAGCUUUGCUCAUUUAAUUCACCCAGUGCUUUGGGACAUUAUUGACAGUCAUGCUUUUGUAAGGCUGUGUGGGCUUGCAUCUGCUGAGACCUGCUGAAGUGAAGGUCCUUUUCUGUGUGCACAUUGAGGGAAAAAGUGUCUGUGUGUGUAGGAACUUCUGUCUGUUCUUUGUAACAUUUGUGUGGUCUGUCCUCUGCUAAAAUAACCUUAGUGAAGGCCUUGGCUUUGUCUCUGUUUGGGAGGAGGGAUGUCUGUCUGUCCCUUGUGAAGGGUGUAAAUGCCCCCACAGUUGGAUGGAGUAAAGGGUGCUGAGCAGUUCACCCCCAUUGAUGAAAGUGGGAAGAUGUUUUGUGGGAAGGGGAAUCAGCCCUUCUGCUUUCGAGUCAACAAAUCACAAAAAAAAAAAACAGGUAAAAAGAGGAGGAGAAAAAGACAGAAUGAUGUAUUUUUGUGCACUCUCCCUUUCCUUCUUCAUUCCUUUGAGCCAUUUUUAACCCAAGCUAAUUCAGCUGGAAAUAUUAAUAACCCUAUAAGGACGCUACCUCCUUGUAAUGAAGUGUAAAGGUCACUUCUGCUCAAAUCACACAACUCUUUCAUUUUGUUCUCUGCUAGGAACAGCUCCUCUCUUUAAUUAUUCAGUUUGCUUUUAUAUUGCAGUUGCUGGUCUCUUGUCUCUGAUCUCUGACACUUCCCCCAUUACACAAGACCCCAGGAGGCUGGGCAGUGUGGCCUGAUGGGUCACAGAGGGGACCUGGAUGUUGUGAGCAGCAGUCAGGAUUUGCCUAGGGGAUGAAGGAGAGGCUGGAUGUGGAGAAGAAGAGUUGAUUCUUGGGUUUCAGAGUUAUUUCUUUGAUGGUGUGAGUCUGCUGGUGUUUCUGCAGGGUGUGGGCAUUGGAAAAUAUGUUAAUUUUUUUGUUAAAUCCCUAUGCAUGAGGUGCCACUUGAUGUGAUGGAAAGAAGUGGGGCUGGAGGGGACCUUUCCUCUGGGAUGGGUGGAUGGAGGUGGGAGGCUGUGGCAUGGGAAGUGAACUCUGUUGAGACACCCUCAGAUGAAGCAAAACCUCUCACAUCAGAUCAAGGUCCUCAGUCCUCAGGUGUCUCUUGGCCCAUGGUGUCCAGAGCCAGGGAGAACAGAGGGAGAAAACCCAGCUGCAUGCUGUGAAUGUGAGCACUCCUGGAACAGGCUGUGGGACUCACCAGCACAAAAAAGGGGGAUGAAUUUAGGGAAAGCCAUUCUCUAGGGAUCAGUCUGGAGUCACAUGCAAGUUCUUCCUGGAGAGAUGCCCAAGAGAGGGCUGGGGAACAGGGCUAGCAGGAGCACCCAUAGAUCCCCAUUGCCCCCAGAGAGGCUUUGGUUUAGCAGGUCCCUUCCCACUCCAUGCUGGCACCCAGAGUGUCUUCCCGGGAAAACUGCAGCAUCCAAACCACCUGCUCCCUGCUACUGUCCCAUGUGAGAGCAGCCCCCCUUGCCCUCCACCCCGGGCCCUUGUUCAUGUGUCUGGAGGGUGGGGGGCCCUGGCUGGGGUGAUCAUUUCUCCCUGCUAGGACCACCAGCCUUUGCUUUCCCAAGGGUGCAGUGGGGACUCCCAGAGCACGGGCAGGGAGUCAAGGGACUGCACAGGAGUCUGUGAGGUCCUGUUGGAUCUCCAGGGGAGGGAAGGGGAUAUUUUCUGUUGGAGCAAACACAGAGAAGACUGUGAAGAUGAUGAGAGGGCUGGAGCACCUGUCCUGAGGCUGAGAGAGUUGGGAUUGUUCAGCCUGGAGAAGAAAAUGCUGCAGGGAGAUCUUAGAGCCCCUUUCAGUACCUAAAGAGCUGGAGAGGGACUUUGGACAAGGACAUUUACAAAUGGGACAAGGGGUAAAGGCUUUGAACUGACAGAAAGCAGGUUUAGAUCAGACCUUAGGAAGAAAUUCUCCCCUGGAAUGGGGGAGGCCCUGGAACAGGUUGCCCAGAGAAGCUGUGGCUGCUCCAUCCCUGGAAGUGUCCAAGGCCAGGCUGGAUGGGAUUUGAGCAACCUGGGAUAGUGGAAGGUGUUCCUGCCCAUGGCAGUGGGGUUGGACUAGAUGAUCUUUAAGGUCCCUUCCAACCCAAAUCAUUCUGUGAUUAUAUGAUUUCAGUGGCUGAGAUGAUUAUAGCACUAAUUAUUACUGUAGCAUCCUAAACAAUUAAUAACCAUAAUUAAUUGUAUGGACCCAAGAGAGCAGAAACAACUUUUGUGGUGGCUGUAACCCCUCCCUCCCUCGAGCACUGCUCACUCCAGAACCUCUCUGCAGUGUUUUAUCUCCCUGAAUGUUUAAAUGACUUGAGCAAUUUGGGGUUUCCUCUGUUUCCCCAUGGGACUCCUCAUUCUCUGUUCUAAUUAUAACACCACAGCAGCUGUUAAUGCCCACAAACAAACACGGGUCCUCUGUAGCUGGAAUGAGUUAAGGUUUAUAUAAUCAUGUGAAGAUUUGAGAGCUGGAAAGCCUUUCACUGUGCACUGCAUUAAUCAUUUAAAAGGAGCCUGACUGAUGAUUUUUGCAUGUGUGUGUGGUUGUUUUCUUUUUCCCCCACUCCCUGUGGAGUCCAGCUGUUGCUGGCUAUACUUGGUGCACUCAGCACCAGCCAAGCCAUUGCCAAAGCCAAAAUCAUUUCCCAAAAGUCAUGUUCAUAUUCAUCUGGUGGUGCACUCAGGCAUGCCAUGGGCUGUGCUGGUGGCAAAGAAGCAUAACCAGGACCUCUGAUGAGGAUGUGUGGAAGUUUUACUUGUUAAAGGUAAGACAUUUUUUGUGGCAAACCCAGGUUGCUCUGGAGUGUCUCCUGCAGCUCCUGGGAGGUGUUGUUGGGGUAUAAGAAGUCUUACACUGAAAGGACAGAACUGACAGGGUAAUUUCCAAAUUAUAGGUGAGGCAGCUGAGGCACAGGGACACAAAGCAACACUGGCACAGACAUGGGGAAGUCUAAUCACAAGCAUAGCACUGACCAACUCUUUGGCCAAGAAUGGAGAUGUCCUGUUCUAAGCUGUGCUAGUGCCAGAGGUUUGCCCUCUCAUUACCCCUUUUGGGUGUGCUGUGGGAGCAGUGGCAUCAUGGUUAAGUCAAGCUCCCAACUUGAAUUUUGAAUCUAUUUUUUUCUGGGCUUCAACAGCAGCCAUCCUUCAUACAACCAGCAGCAGAAGAAAGCUGUUGUCCAUAGCAUGAGUUGUGUACCAGCAUCAUCCCUCACUCCUUUCCCUUCUCUGGCUGCUCCAGCAGACCAUUAACAGCACUGCAAUAUGCAGGAGCACAGACCAGACUGGGGCACAGUUUGCUCUGUGUGCAGCUACAAAUGUAGCUCUGUUCCAGCUGACAGGCUUAUACGACCUCAUAUCUAUAAAACCUGAUCUUAAACAUGCACCAGUCAUUCGUUUUAAAACCCCGCAUGGACAUAAAACCCAGAGUUCAAAAGCUGCAACUUUUCAGUGACAGGGGAGGGGAAAAAAUAGCUGUGAGUUUUUAGGUUAAAAUCCAGAAACGCUGGACUGUGGUUUUGCAGAUGCGAUUUCCAUGCUGCCACCAUCAGCGGCAGGUGGAGUUCGACACCUCUGCUGCCACCAUCCUCCUUCCAAGCCUCUAAGCAUGGCUCAGGGUAAUGAGAUUUAAGGAUAUGAAAUGUCCUGGAAGAGCUAAGGAAAGAUAAUCAGGGCUAGUGUGCUGACAAGGGGGGAAGAGGCUGAAAGGGGGGAGGCUGUGGACUGGGUGGCUGCAAUUCCACUUCCCUGAGCCAACAUUAAGGCAAAUCCGGUCUUCUGGCUGCAGAUGUGGAGUGUUUCAAUAAUGAAAAUAUUUGAAUUAGAAAGAGAAGCUGAGAAGACAAGGGGACUUGCUCAGGCCUAUAGAUAGCAAUGCUCUGGGUAAUUCAUGUCCUAGACCUGUUUGUUUGAAAGCAUCUCUGAAAGAUAUUGGCAGGUAUUCCAAAGGUAGCUGCGUGUGCAGGUGCCUUCUGUCCCCAGCCAAAGGCAUUGCAAUUAAGGAAACAAAUGUCAGCUUUUCUCCUGGCCUUUCUUAAUCCCCCAGCUGUCUGGUGCAGUGCUGUCCUGCUCUUUGGUGGAUGUCUGUGCUGCAGGGGGACAGCCCUCACCUGGGGGGAAGCACUAAGCUCUGGCAUGCAGGGGCUGGCUUAGCUGUCUGUAACCCGGGGGAACAGAUGGCACUGCCUGACAAAGGCAGACUGUCCCCCCACCCCCCUUCCCUGCUCCUUUCUUCUGCAAAUUGAGGGCCUUAAAAAGGAUUGAUGGGGCCAACAACAACCUCAUCUGGGCAGACUUUUGGGGGGAUUAAUGCCUGGUUGCUGGGGAAAGGUUUAAUGGUCCAAAGAGAUCAACAGCCUCAAGCCAGUUUAUUAAUCAGCUGGGGCUAAGGCCAUUAUCGCUUAAAGGCUCAGCCUGGGGGGGCACAGGAGGCAAGGGGUGACAGUGAUCCAUCUCUGCAGAGAACCAAACCAGAGCAAGUGAGGAGAUCCCUGGAAUCCAGCACACAAACUCACUGAUCUCUCAGGGACUAAGAUUUAGGAAGGAAAUGCAAAGGGAAAAGGGAGCGAUGGGCUUGUUUCAUCUGCAUCUGAUACAUCACAACCCCUCUCACUCCCUCCCGGCUGCAGCAGCUCCCAAACAAGCCCAGGGGCUUCCAGCCAGCUUUGUGCCUAGCAGUGGCUACUAGACAUCACCAAACCCUGUGCUGUGGCCUGGACAGUUGGGGACUACUCUUGGGAGAGGAGAUUUAUUUCUAACACCUUGUUCAGAGAUCAGGUUUCUGCCCUGGAGCAUGAAAACGGAGGUUCUUAUUAUUUUUAUCACAGCAAGUCAAAGCACAGAAGCUAUUCUUAUUCAUAUAAGUGUCUAAUCCUCCUCUGAUUCCUUCUGAGCUGUUGCAUUUGCUUUCAUUACUUUUCCCAGUUUUGGCUAAAAUAAAUUUUGCAGUAUAAUAAUCUGCCCUUACAACGAGCAGUCCCUGAGAGGAGGAGAGGAGGCACAGAGCAGGUCCUGCUAUGGACCCUCUCCCACCUCAGGGCCCAGGAAAAGCUUGGCUGUGUCCUGGCUGCCCUGGAGAAGUUGGAGGCUGUUUGUAUGGACGAAGGGGUUGAUGCUGUUUUUGGACUACCUAACACGGGGUCUCAGUGACUCAGUUUAGUCAUUAACUCUCCAAUCCAGACCCUUCAGGGGCCAUCUAUAGCAGGAUGUCUGAAUGCAGCAGAGGUACAAGGUCAUCUCCUGGGGCCCUGUGUGGGUGAGCAGUAGGAUUGCAGGGAAGGAGACCUGCUCCCAGCUACAGGAGGUCUCUGGAGAAAGUUUCAACUGCAUCCAUUGCAGAUGAAAAUUGUUGGGUAGGAGCCACUGACUUAUUCUGGCCAGGCUUGGGUCUGGGAAAUAUUACAGCGAGCUGGUAGGGGUGGCUUGGGGUCAGGAGGCUUUUUAAUUGCUUGAAAGCAAGGUCCCUGUGCUUUAUCCUCAUAGUCUGUUUUAAGUUGCCAACAAAGAGUCUGAUCUUCUGAGGAGAGUUCUGGCUUUGCUCUAGAAUCUGAUCACAGAGAGAAAUUGUUUCUGUUCCAACACAGUUCUAGGUGGCCGAAAACCUAUUUUAUUUUUGGAUUUUUUUUUCCCCCCAUCCAAAGUCACGAACUUUGAUGUGAGAGCAGGUGACUUACCUGCAUUCACCUGCCUCUCUGAGCAAAACUUCUAAACUCAUACUCUGCUUUUCUUCUUUCUUCCUGUAAGUGCAUGCCUCAGCCAAAUGCAUUUCUGCUCCCUUGGGACCCUAGUUCCUGGACAGCCUGGACCUCUGGCUGUCCGAAAUGGUAAAAGCCAGCAGGCCCCAUACACUCCAACAAACAAACCUCUCUGCUCCUCACUUGGUGUUUUCAAGAGUCCCAGAGACAAUCUCUCCCCUGGAGAGGAGCUGGGACAGUCAGCAGGUGAAAGCUGUUGCUGCAGGAGGCAGUUGGUGUCAAAAAGAGUGUGUUUGUGUUUGUGUGUGUGUGGCUUAGGGAACAAACAGGGUGAGCAACCUCCUGUGUCUUUGGAUGGUUUCUGCACAUCACUUAACAUAGAUUUCCUGUUUGCAAGGGCAGUAGCCUUGAUUUAAUAAAUCAGAGAGCAGAAAGAAGGCAGCAGACAGCAGGGACAGGCUGAGUUCACGGAGUUCUCUUUCUGGAGUUCCAUGCCUGGACCUCACUGCUUCUUAUCCAUCUUUUCACGGGUGGGAUGGCCUGUGUAGACUCAAUAUUAUGUACUUUUGGAUCCCAAUGGUUCCAAACUAUAUGUUUCUAUUGCUUUAGCAAAUGCAGGAUGGGGAUCAAUGUGUAGCAUGCUGUGAGCUGUGAUUCUGUAAGAUCAGUUAAAACUUGGUUAUGCAUCUUUGUAGCACGUAGGAGAACUUUAUGCCACUGGUUCAGCUGCAGAGGUGACAGUUCUUGGUGGUCUUGCUUUUUAUGGCUAUAGAGAUUCAUGCUACUGAGUCCAAUAAUGAUGUUGGCAAGUCCACACAUGGACCUACCACUGGAAUUAAUCAACAUAAAAUGUGCUGAAGGCCAAGGACUGUAAUAACUGGGGGAGCUGUAGGAGCCAACAAGUAAUUCCUUUACAUGAGCCUGAAGUUUUUGUGCAGCAAAUGGAAGUGAAAGAGUUUCCUCAGAUUAGGUAUGCUGGUCCUACUUGGAUCUCCCCUUAAACUAAAUUCAGAGGUUUCCUGGGAGAUGAAGAACACAGUGAGAAAACCACAUUAAAAAUAUGCUGAACUAUGUUUCAACUUGCCAAGUUUCCCCCUAAUAUAUACAUAUAUACUGGUACUGAAUUUAAAUUCAGGUCCUAAACACUGUAGAAAUGUUGGCUACCUAUAGUCCACAUGGAAUGCUGACCCUAUAACCCCUAAACCCAGCAACAUUUAUUAAUGGCUUAACUGGAGUCUCUGUAGCAAACAUUUCAGUCUCUUCAGCCAGGGAGAAGUGGGUUACUUUGUGAAUAUCAAUGCAGAUCAAAUAAAACUUAUCUCAAGGACAAAUGUAUUUGUUCUGAAAAUUUGGCCAAAGAAAUCAGAAAUGGUUCUUUAAAAUGUAUCAGCCUACAGCAAGUUUUAAUCUUUUUUUUUUUUUUUCUUUUGAGCAGCAAAAGUUGGUGAUCAAGCCAUAAUUUGAAAUAUAUGGUAGGAUACAGCAAAAUCAGUGCCAUUGAAAAUGCCUUGUAGCUGGGACAGGUGGAUCUGAAGGUUUGACAAAAACAUGCUCUCUGUUCUACAGACAUGAGACAAUUUUUCUUUCAUUUGAUUCAUUUUCUUUCAUUAUGUAGCCACCCUGGAUUAUUUUUCAACAACCAACUGCUCUUGUGUUCUCUUUGACGAAUCCCCUUGUUUGGUUUAUUUUGUUUGGUUGUUGGUUUGGUGUUCUUUUUUUUGGGAGGGCGGGGCAGGAGGAUCUUAUUGGGAAUGAUGGUGGGUCUUUUGGGAAAGGACAGCUGUUUCAUUUCAUGCAUUUGGCAUAUCUGGGCCAUCAAUCUCAGAAGAGCAUGUACCAGGUGCUCAAAGUAGAGAGAUACAAAGAUGCCAUUGCUGUUUUCUUCUGGCCAUGUUUAAAAAUCCUCUUUUCUCCCCUGGAAUGAAGUGAUUUGUGCCUGCAGCAGGAAUAGGUACCUUCUGGUUCCAGGCCUCCUGGAACAGUCCCGGGGCUAUCAGCAAUGCUGCAAAGGGAGAGGGGAAGGAGGGAAGAGGAUGACUCACAAGAAGUUUCCCUGUCUGUUAUGAUUUUGCUUUGUAGCUUUGUGUUCUCUGGAUGAUUUAGGGAGAGACGCUUUUCCCUAAUCUCUAAUUUGCUGCCAGAUGAAUAUAUUGAGUAGCAGAAUAUUGAGAAAUCUUGGGAAACUAAUGAGAAAUGCCUGAAUGAGCUCAGUGUGUUUCUCCACUCAGCUGUUAGGCUUUAAUACCCCGGUGGUGUUGGGCAGAGAUGGUUCCACAGGAGUUGUGUGGUUCCUUUUGCUUUUUGUGCCAAAAUAAAGGUUUUAAAUUAAAGAAUGGUAGAUUCAGGUAGAAGCCCUAUCCCUGGAAACCUCCAAGGUCAGUUUGGACUGGCCUUUGAGCAACCUGAUUUAGUUGAAGAUGUCCCUGUUCAUUGCAGGAGGACUGGAGUAGAUGGGCUUUAAAGGUCCCCUCCAACCCAAACUAUUCUUCAAUUCUAUGAUUCCACCUGCUUGGCCAAAGCACCAACAUAUGCACUUACAGAGAUUCAGUCACCUAGCAUUGUACAUGUUAUUUUGAGGUGUGAUAUUUCUAGCUUACUGAAUUCUUACUGCAGCUUUUUCUUCUCACACGUUGUCUUGACUUAUUUCCCUGAGCUCUGGGUCUCUGUUGGAUGCUGUGAGGGGCUGACUGGAGCUCUGUGAUAGAAGGGUUGGUUGGUGAAGGACAUUUCCUGGAGAGGAGUAAUAGAAUAUUCUCAUGGCAAGGACCACAGCAGGUACUUACCACCUUCAAGGUGCUGACUGUAAACUCUUGGGUAGGGAUUUCUGUUUUUCUGCCCUGGUGAGUUUCUGCUGCUGUAUAUAUAUAUUCUUUGAGGCUACUGGGAGUUUCUGGGGCUAAAAUGGGAGAAGAGUAUAGGCCCAUCUGUAUUUCAGAUCUGCCUGCACCUGGUCCAGCUGUCCAUAUGGCAAAAGACUUUUUCCUUUGUGAUGGGCACAGCUGAGAGCGUGGCUGCCAGCAGUCCUGAGCUUUGUGAUCUUGAAAACCAGGUUGCCAUAUGUCUUUGAUCAGACCUAAUGUGCUUCUCCAGGAAAAGUGAUGUACACAAGGAAACUAGUACUCCAGUCCCAGAUGGGAAGCUGUGCCUUCAGCUCAGCUCUGAUUCAGGUAGUGUUUUACCCUGCGGAGAUGAAAACACCAAGAGAAGCAGAAUAAUGUGAGGGAGACAUCUGUGUUGCACCAUAUAUUUGGAAAGGGGAGGUGUCAGGUUGCCUUAGGAGGUUUGUCAGAGUCAGUAACACUUGAGAGAUGCAGAUCAGCCCAAUGGCAGCCUGGCAAUGACUCAACCUUUCCCUACAGCCUGUUUUACCUAUGGGUGUGAUAAAAAGCUGCUGCAAAGAUGGGUUUCACUGUUAUGGACUUUCCUUGGACCUUUCAUGCAGCAAACUGAUGAAGGGCAGGAAGCUUAUGGCAACAGAAUAAAAGUCAUAUCCUAGAAGGUGGGAAAAAUCCCUGCCUUGUUUUUCCAUGGAGUCUGUGUCUGACACCCAUGGCUGCCCUCUCCUGUCCACAGUGUUUGCUUCCUCUUGGACCUCUACAGGCAUGUUAUGGCACAUAUGUCAUCCAAAAACCUCACCUGGGGGCACCCAGCAUAGUCCCUGUGGAUUUCAGACCACGUGGAACUUGUGUUGAUAAGAUGGGUCAGUGCCUUCAGCCCUGCUCCUGUACAGCUGGCUGGUGCAUCUUGGACCUGCCAGCCACGUGAGUCCAGCAAAGGGUGGUCUGGCCACAGGAGAAGUCCUGCAGUGCCAUUCAGCAGAUGACCAGGUGGCUCUGCCAUCUGAUUUCAAAGUUGUCUGCCUUGACAUGUGGUGUCCCGUGCCUUGUUUCAGGAAGCAGUCAAGAGGCCUGAGCUCUCUCAGAUAAAUGGCUCAGCUUAGAGCACUGUGGCUUCAUGUUCCUGAAGCUGCUAAUCCUAAUUAACAGCUUUUCUGAGUCCCUUUUAUACCACUCUAGCAGCCCAAGUGGGCUGUAAAGUGAAUAGAAAUGACCCCAUGGAGAGCUCUCUCUGGAGAUGUUGCUAUGCCGACCUGUUUACAGCAGCUAUUAAGGCUCCGGUCGAUCUCUUCCAUCCUGUGUUGUUGUUUUUGUCAUAUGGCCUCAGGUGGUGCCAGAGGUGUAGUUGGAACAGAUAGGGCCUGGACUCUGUUAUUUACUUUUCUGGAAGAUGUGGGGAGAGGGGAAAAAACAAGGAUAGAGGGGUAAAAUCAUGCCAGGCAGCAACGUGGAGGAUCAACAACAGCAACAAUAAAAAAACCCCAACCACCUGAGACUCCCCUGACAGAAAACUGAGUCAAUGUGCUUUUGCCCAAUCCUUAAAAAAAAAAUCCAGAAAAUAAAAAAUCCAUUUUUUUCCCCCAAACACACUUUGUUGAAGGUCUGCAGGCAAUAGGGUGUUUCCCUCGGGUACCUGGGUUUCUUCACCCAGUCCGGUGGGAACACUGGACAGGAGUGUUUAUGUGCCCUGGAGUGCACAGCUUGAAAACAUUUUUGGCCACACUCAUCCUCCUUAAAUUCAAUCUCCCCAGGGCCUAUAAAUCUGAGGCAUUAAGGGGAAGACAAAUUAUAAUGUACGUAUUUUAGGAAUAUAAAAAGUAACGACUUAAUAUAACUUUCUCUUCUCUCCCUCCCUCACCUCCCCAUCCUUUACCGCCUCAUGUUUUUAACAUUUUGGAAUCUGCCAAAGCUUGGGGGGAUACAUGGUGUGCCAGAGAGAGGCAAGAGGUGCUUCCUUUGUGGGCUGGUGUGAUCUGUGCUUGCCGGGCACCUCUCCCCAAGCCAGGGGUCUCUAUCCCAGGGCACUCAGGCCCAUGUUUUUGGGCAGUGUCCCCUGGAGUGAACCAGUGAAAAGGCAAGAGCUGUCCUGGGCUGAAAGACACUGUGGGUACCAUAACCCACUUCAGCAGGAUGGCAGAAAGUACAGCAUGCAGGGAAAGGCAGGUGGUUUAUGCCAGUCUAGGAGGGGCCAGUGGGGUCAAUUCCCACUGCCAUGCUGAGCAGGCAGCACAUGGCUACUGGAUGUCUCUGUGUGCUGGAUUCCCUCCUGAUAGCAGGGAACCUUUUUUUCAGGAAACUGGAGCUUUGCACAGUAAUUCCAAAAAAUGGCAGAUUUUUCUUUUUGGCUUUUCGUAGCUUUCCUUUUUUUGAGAUACUAUAGAAACUUCAGAACAUGAUUGGAUUUGUUCAUGCCUUUAUUUAUUGCGCUAUUUAUGAUGGGCACAGAUUUCCCUAAGCCAAGAAGCCCCCUCCCUCCUCCUUCCCCAGCCUUAGUAAUCAGCUCCCUUGUGCUGCAGCCCACGCUAGGCUAUUUUCCUCUGUCAGAUCCUCCAUCAUUGGUUAAAUUACCUAGGUGUGUGUUGGCUUUAUCUUUUUUUUGUGAAAUCUUACAAUCUUUCAAGUCUUCUUUGUCCGAGUCCCUGUCAUCCUCUUAGGUUUCUUGCACACCCUGUUUCUCUCCUGGCUGAUUCUGUUAAAGGUCUAAUUUCAACAAGUUGCUGCUCUCAGGGUUGAAGCCUGUACUCCAGUGAUAAUCACCUGUGUCCAUCAAGGCUCCCCAGAGCUUUGAAGUUACAGCAAAUUGUAGAUGUUUGGACUCCUUUGCACUUGGCUGUUAAAUUUUCCCUUCCACCCUCCCUUUCUCAGAUGCUUCCACGUUUCGCUGCCUGUGUUCACUGCAGCCCACAUUGCCAGCACACCUUUCGAGCCACCAUCCUGUUAAUGAGCAUACUUGGCCCGGGCCCUGGUUUGCCACGGGGUGUCCCCUCCCACGCACACCCCAACAGCUGCCUUCCGCAGCGCGGGGACAGGCUUCGCUCAGAGCCUGCGCUCGGAGCCCGUCCUGCGAGCCAGUUUUAAUCUAGGAUGCUCUUUCCUUUUGGCUCCCGACAGGGAUCACAGGACCCUGUUUAAUCCAGCUCCCCGUUGGUGUAGGGCUGAGUCAUAGGAGGUUUUUCUGUUGCUACAUCUAAUAACGCUUUGCUAUCGGGAGCAGAACAUCCACCCGCCCGGCUGGGAGUCGGCACUGUCACCCGGCAGCUCCCCUUGUCUGGAAGUUGUUUUGAUUCUUUUCUUAGACUUCUCCCUCUCUGUGUCUGUCUCUCUAAAACAUUAAUUUCCUCUAAUUAGAGCCUCCUUAACAAUUCUUUUUCCCCCCCCCUCUCCUCAGUUAAUUUCCUCUAAUUAGAACCUCCUUAAUAAUUCUUUUGCUAAAUCAAUUUCCUCAGUUAGAACCGCCCGCCAUAAUUUCUUUCCAUCCUUUCAAAAGCUGUCGGAGCAGCUAAGCAAAUUAUGCUUCUGAGUAACCUUUAUCUCUUACUUGGUAUUUUAAAAGAAGAACUGUAACAGGUUAGACAGGCACAAUUUCCCCUUUCAGAGCUCUGCUGGUCUGACCCCAUUAGGUUAUACUUAGCUGACUGUUGUACUAUUGUAUACUUAAUAAGAUGCUCUAGCUGCUCCUCUGGAACCAAGGUAAGGCUGUAUUUAUGAAUGAAUUAAACAUGACACUUCAUUAUUCAGAUCAGAUUUAACAGUGUCAAAAUCCGUCUUUAAACCAGAUCAAAUUGCUCUCCAAGAAUAUGUAAAACCUCCUGCCUCUGUUAGCUGUCCUGUGAGCCAGCCUUUCCUAACUUUUUCUCUGCAGCCAUGCUGGCUUUCUUCUCAUGACAAGUCUUUUAAGUACUAGUUUUUUUCUAAAACAUG